GACGAACGCUGGCGGCGUGCCUAAUACAUGCAAGUAGAACGCUGAAGGAGGAGCUUGCUUCUCCGGAUGAGUUGCGAACGGGUGAGUAACGCGUAGGUAACCUGCCUUGUAGCGGGGGAUAACUAUUGGAAACGAUAGCUAAUACCGCAUAAGAGUAGAUGUCGCAUGACAUUUGCUUAAAAGGUGCAACUGCACCACUACCAGAUGGACCUGCGUUGUAUUAGCUAGUUGGUGAGGUAACGGCUCACCAAGGCAACGAUACAUAGCCGACCUGAGAGGGUGAUCGGCCACACUGGGACUGAGACACGGCCCAGACUCCUACGGGAGGCAGCAGUAGGGAAUCUUCGGCAAUGGACGGAAGUCUGACCGAGCAACGCCGCGUGAGUGAAGAAGGUUUUCGGAUCGUAAAGCUCUGUUGUAAGAGAAGAACGAGUGUGAGAGUGGAAAGUUCACACUGUGACGGUAUCUUACCAGAAAGGGACGGCUAACUACGUG
rnacentral:rRNA from 1 species